rnacentral:piRNA from 2 species
UAUCAGAAACUGUUUGUAAACGUGAAUUGA